AUGACCACCGCGCCGUUCGUCUCCCCAUCGCUCCCCCGACUACACUCCGCGCGGGCCUCUCCGUUCCCCAAACCCUCCGUUGGGUCCGGGGGUGGGGUCGCGUUCCCCGCCCGGACGUACGGGUCAUCGCUUCGCCUGAGGUCUGCCGUCAUGUCUGCCAGCGGCGUCGGGGGGAACGGCUCUCCGAUGGCGCCUGAGGAGUCCACAGUGUCUUCUAGGUUGGGGGAGGUCAAGCGGGUAACCAAGGAAACAAAUGUGCAUGUCAAGAUCAACCUGGACGGCACUGGUGUUGCAAACUCCAGCACAGGGAUACCGUUCUUGGAUCACAUGCUUGAUCAACUGGCAUCUCAUGGACUGUUUGAUGUAUACGUGAAGGCGACGGGUGACACACACAUUGAUGAUCAUCACUCAAAUGAGGAUAUUGCUUUAGCAAUUGGAACGGCAUUACUUCAAGCACUUGGUGACCGAAAAGGAAUUAACCGGUUUGGGCAUUUUACAGCACCACUUGAUGAGGCAGCAGUUGAGGUUAUACUGGAUCUAUCUGGUCGACCUCAUUUGAGCUGCGGCUUAAGCAUUCCUACCGAAAGAGUUGGCACAUAUGACACACAGCUAGUUGAGCAUUUCUUCCAGUCCCUUGUGAAUACAUCUGGCAUGACGCUUCACAUCCGUCAGCUUGCGGGAAACAACUCACACCAUAUUAUCGAGGCAACUUUCAAAGCAUUUGCCAGGGCGCUUCGACAAGCAACGGAAUAUGACUUACGCCGCCAGGGCACUAUCCCAAGCUCAAAAGGUGUUCUGUCAAGGUCUUAG
rnacentral:rRNA from 1 species